rnacentral:rRNA from 1 species
GAGUUUGAUCGUGGCUCAGAUUGAACGCUGGCGGCAUGCCUUACACAUGCAAGUCGAACGGUAACAGGUCUUUCGGGAUGCUGACGAGUGGCGAACGGGUGAGUAAUACAUCGGAACGUGCCUAGUAGUGGGGGAUAACUACUCGAAAGAGUGGCUAAUACCGCAUGAGAUCUAUGGAUGAAAGCAGGGGACCUUCGGGCCUUGUGCUACUAGAGCGGCCGAUGGCAGAUUAGGUAGUUGGUGGGAUAAAAGCUUACCAAGCCUACGAUCUGUAGCUGGUCUGAGAGGACGAUCAGCCACACUGGGACUGAGACACGGCCCAGACUCCUACGGGAGGCAGCAGUGGGGAAUUUUGGACAAUGGGCGCAAGCCUGAUCCAGCAAUGCCGCGUGCAGGAUGAAGGCCUUCGGGUUGUAAACUGCUUUUGUACGG